UUAAGGCAUAUCGCUUUCUGUUUACGAAUAUAAGUAUAAUUGAACGCACCUAUAAAAUGUAUUAUUUAUGUAUCAUAGGUAUAGAAGAAGUUUUUAUCUAUAUGGGUCAUCCGGCGAUUCUCAUCAUAGAUAAUAGAUAUACAAAGGGUAAACGUAAUUUUCGGAUUCCGAUCUCAUUUUGCCUUCAGUCUUCGAGAAGUCGACAAGUUAUGGUUUUUGCUCUCCAUGAACGGAAACGACGCUUGAAGACUUGCUGAGAGAUAACAUCCUUGGAUUAGAUGGACGAGUACUUAUAGGUGUAAUGAGCUGAUCGAAAAAUUCAUCAUUCAUAAGACGCAAAUGUUAACAAUGGUUUUUAUUAAACCAUAAUAAGUGAACACAGAAAAGGUAAAUCGAAAGGGGUCGAAAUGUGCAGAAGCAGAGCCCCACUCACACUUAUCUCUGUUGUGCUUGAAGAGAGGCCAUUUGUAAAAAGGGUUUCAACAAGGUGAAAAAAUAAGGACUAGAAACCUAGAGAAGAGGAGUCCCAUUAAUGCUUCCUCUUGGACAUGAAAGGUGCAAUUUUUCGAAAUACGUGCAGUCCAAUUGACACCGAUGUAUAUAAAGUUACACAUGUGAUGUCUUCUACUAUGUGGCUCAUUUCAUCAUCAGUGGUAUUAUUUUCCCUUUCUCAAGCAUCUAUUGUUGGAGAAACUUCUCUGUUAUCACCGCUUAUGAAUAAAACGAAUACCAUAGAAGAAUAUAUUUGAGGUAAGCGGUUGUUUUACUGUUUAAUUAUUUCUCUGGCAUCUAUGGUUUCGCUUCUAUCAAUUAUCUAUUGUUUACAGCAUAAAUUGACAUCGUCCAUCUAUGGUUAUCUCUAUUGCUUUUGGCAUUUAUCUGUCAUAAAUAUAAUUGACGCCCAUGUCGCCAUUUUAUAAUGUAGUUAUUUACUUGCCUUUUGGUGCAUGUUUUUAUUGUAUUUCAUGUUUUACUUAACUUAAUCCCUUCUUUAAUUAAUAU